rnacentral:lncRNA from 1 species
AUUGACAAAAGACUUUUAUGUACUUGUUAUUUAUAUAUAUAUAAUAAAUUAUUAUUUAAAAAAAAAUAAAAAAUCAAAAAUCAAAAAUCAAAAAUCAAAAAUCAAAAAUCAAAAAUAAAAAAUAAAAAAUAAAAAAAUUAAAAAUAAAAAGUAAAAAUAAAAAUUAAAAUUAAAAAAUAAAAUAAAAAAUAAAAAAAAAUAAAAAAAAAUAAGAAAAUAAAAAAUAAAAAAAAAUUAUUUUAUUUUUCGAAAUAUACUUUUUCAAAUUCGAAUUUUUUUAUAAAACAUUUUUUUUUCGAUUUUUUUUUAUUUAUUUAUUUUUCCAAAUUUCUUUUUGGAAAACGAAAAUUAUGUUUGAAACUAUUUUUUUAAAUUUUUUAUAUAUUUAAGUAUUUAUAUAUUUAUUAGAAUCAUAAAUUUCAC